rnacentral:lncRNA from 1 species
CAUGCUAAUGGCAACUAUGAUUUCAAGUUGUUGGGAGGAAAGAAAUUCUAGAAUUUUUCUAAGAAAAAGUUCAACUGAAGAGGCUAUUUUUGGAAAAGUGGUGUUGGGUAUAAAAUACCCCCCCGACCGAAGCUUGUAAAGGACCGAUCCUUCUAGGGCUCUUCCGGCUCUCGAUCUUGUGCGUGGUGCCUCUUCGAACCUCC